rnacentral:misc_RNA from 1 species
CUCUGGGUCAGGUCUCGUCAGCA